rnacentral:tRNA from 1 species
GGAGGGGUGCCGGAGCGGCCGAACGGGGCGGUCUCGAAAACCGCUAGGGGCCCUGUGCCCCUCGUGGGUUCGAAUCCCACCCCCUCCGCCA